CCACGCUCGCCGCAGCCCCGCCCUCCGCCCCCACGCGGGGCUGGACCCAGGCCCGGCGGGCGCCCGGGUGGGAAGGGUCCUCGGGGUGUCGGUCGCCGGCGAGCUGCGGGGAGUCGCGGGUUAGUUUCGGGCGCGCUCUGGGUAAUCGCGUCCACCGCUUUGCUUGGAAAGACUUGAAGUGGCGCCAGGUGCUUUUAGAAAGACGUGGUUUUCAAAGCUAAUUAUGAAAACGUUUAUCAUUGGAAUCAGUGGCAAGUGCCAAGAUUUCAUUUUAGUGCUGUAUCUUCUGUGAAACCCCUACCAGACUCAACUGAAGUAACCUCUGUAAGUUCUUUUCUUCCUUCAUCUAAACUCACUGUGUUAUCUUUCUUAUGUACUUACCACUUGCUGCCCUGUGAGGGAAUUAUUCAAUUGAGACUGUUCUGGGAGCAUCUGUGAACCCUCUGAACGUUUUAGGCAUAUGUGAAGAUGUUUAUUUUUCUGGAGAAAUGGUUUUGUUAGCUUCAUCACAUUUCACAGAGUUCCAUGCUGCAAGAGAAGUUUACGAUGCAUGGGCUUUGGAGUUAGACUUUUAUCCCACCUCCAUUGCUUACUAGUCACUACCUUGGGCACAUUUUAUUAAACUGUUCAAGUCUGUUUCCUCAACUGAAAGAUGGGAACAUUAGUGUCUACCUGCUGCGCAGAAUGGAUUCUCCACUUACUUGAGUAAUUGCAGACAGCCUUUUUAACUUCUCCCUAGCAUACUGUCAUGUUCUAAGUACAGUGAGCCUUCGUAUAACCUGGCACAUGAAAAAUAAAUGGGCCAGGAAUUGUGCAUUUAUUUGGCUUUUUUUCACAAAGAAAAAAGUAGCACCUAAAUAGUCGUCUGUCUUCCUUCCCUAGAUCCUAGAACAGAUCAUGGCUCCUCUGUGAGCAUUCUUCUCCUCAAGUUGGAUAGCACAUGACAGGUUACUGGUGGCCAAGAGCAGGC
rnacentral:lncRNA from 1 species